rnacentral:lncRNA from 1 species
CCACUGGACCACCAGGGAGUCUGCCACCACUGGACCACCAGGGAGUCUGCCACCACUGGACCACCAGGGAAAAAGGUACCUGUCACCCCCUCACCCUGCCACCCCAACUGUCACACUGCCACCCCAUCUGCCACCCCAUCUGUCACCCUGCCACCCCCUCACCCUGUCACCCUGCCACCCCACCUGUCGCCNNNNNNNNNNNNNNNNNNNNNNNNNNNNNNNNNNNNNNNNNNNNNNNNNNNNNNNNNNNNNNNNNNNNNNNNNNNNNNNNNNNNNNNNNNNNNNNNNNNNUUUGUCACCCUGCCACCCCCCUCACCCUGUCACCUCCCCUGUCACCCUGUCACCCCACCUGUCACCCUGCCACCCCUCCUGUCACCCCACCUGUCACCCUGCCACCCCACCUGUCACCCCAUCUGUUACCCUGCCACCCCACCUGUCACCUCAUCUGUUACCCUGUCACCCUGCCACCCCCUCACCCUGUCACCCCCCACCCUGUCACCUGCCACCCUACCUGUCACCCCCUCACCCUGUCACNNNNNNNNNNNNNNNNNNNNNNNNNNNNNNNNNNNNNNNNNNNNNNNNNNNNNNNNNNNNNNNNNNNNNNNNNNNNNNNNNNNNNNNNNNNNNNNNNNNNCUCACCCCACCUCCAACUCUUUCACCCACACUCACCCUGUCACUCCUUCACCCUGCCACACCACCUGUCACCCUGCUACCCCAUCUGUCACCUCCCUGUCACCCUGCCAUCCCACCUGUCACCUCCCUCUCACCAUGCCACCCCACAUGUCACCCCCUGUCCCAACUUCUAACCCCACCUGUCACUCCCUCUUACCCUGCCACCCCACUUCUCACUCUGUCACCUCCGGUCCUCCUCUCGCAAGUUUGGAGCGUUGCCAUAUAUAUAUAUAUAUAUAUAUAUAUUAUAUUUAAAAAAAGCACACACACACUACACACACUGCCUCCCAUACACACACGCUGCCCUGCCCCAUACACACACACUCUACACACAUACACUACCCGAUACACACACUGCCCCCAUACACUGCCGACCCAUACACACACAUUGCCCACACUCACACAUACAGUGCAUUACUAACACACACUGCAACUGUUACACACACAUACUGUCCCACACAUACACUGCCGCCCUCACACACACAUACUGUCCCACACAUACACUGCCGCCCUCACACACACUACAACCUUCACACACACACUGCUCACACACUGUCCCCCUCACACACACACACACACACACACUGCACCCCUUAAACAUUGCACCACUCACACACACCACUGCUCCUAUGCCCUACUACUGCCCCAUUUCCCAGCAGACCUUAGGUAAAUUGUCAAACUGUUCUUAAACGGUUUGACUACUUACUCUGGGAGGGGGUCCCGGCACUAUUGACACCAUAACCACUACACUGACCUUUAGUGGUUAUUGUGUCUGGAUUAUUUCUUUAAAUAAUCUACAAGUGAACCUCCCAAGAUCAGGCUCUGGAUCCGCUACUGUCUCACAGUAGGUCUCCCUUCUCUCACGCUAGGUCUCUCCCCCUAUCACACUAGGUCUCCUCCCUCUCAAACUAUGCCACCCCUUCACACUGUCACCCCCCUACAUUAUGUCACCCUCCCUCACACACUAGGUCACCCCCCUCACACACUAGAUCACACCCUGUCACCCUCCUCUCACCCUGUCACCCCCUCUUACUAUGUCCCUGUGACCCCCCCAAACUGUCACCCGCCCAUACUCUGCCACCUCACUCUGUCGCUCUCUACACACUAGGUGUAGCCACCUCACACUUUCACCCCCUCACACUAUGUCACCCCUCUUAUUCUGCCACACUGUGUCACCCUCCCUCUCACUAUGUCACCCUCCCUCUCACUAUGUCACCCACCCGCUUACUCUGACACCCCCCUCUUACUCUGACACCCCCUCUUACUCUGACACCCCUCCUUUUACUCUGUUACCCACCUUCACUAUGUCACGCUUCCUCUCACUCUGUCACCCCCCUUACACUAAUGUAACCCUCUCUCACUAUGUCACCCCCUCUCACACUAGGUCUCACCCUCUCACACGGUCACACCCCUUCUCACCCUGUCACCCCCUCUUACUCUGUCACUCACCCUGUGACCCCCCACACUGUCACCCACCCGUACUCUGUCACCUCACUCUGUCGCUCCCCACACACUAGGUCACCCCACCUCACACUUACACCCCCUCACACUAUGUCACCCCCUCUUAUUCUGUCACACUCCCUCUCACUCUGUCACCCCCAUCAGACUAUGUCACCCACCCUCUUACUCUGACACUCCCCUCUUACUCUGUUCACUAUGUCACUCUUCCUCUCACUCUAUCACACCCCUUACACUAAUGUAACUCUCACACUCUGUCACCACCCCUCACACUCUGUCACCCCCUCACACUGUGUCAUUUUCCCCGCACACUGACACCCCACUCGGCGCACACUGACACCCCACUCGGCGCACACUGUCACCCCCCUCCAUACACAUUGUCACCCCCCUCCAUACACAUUGUCACCCCCCUCCAUACACACUGUCUCUCCCUCCAAACACACAGGCACUACUCUCCGCAAACACAGGCACCUCCCUUCAUUCUCAUUGUCAACCCUCAACACUCUGGCACCCACCUCCAUACACUCUGGUACCCUCCUGCUCUUUUACACUCACCCUGCCCCAGUUACCCCUUUACUCACCCUGUCACCCCCUGAAGGCAAUAAUUAUACACACUGUUAUAAAACAUAGCUUCGCCAUAAACUCAGUGCCAAAGGCCACAGGCAGUACACAAACCUACACAUGCUCAGAGAAACAUACAUACAUACACAAGGAUCCUCACUGCCAGACACACACAGGUAGACAAUGCAACGAUGUAUACAAAGACUAGCUCACUAUAUCCAGUGCUGCAAGCUCCCCCUUCAGUAAAUCUACAGCUUCUUAUACACACACAAAUCAACUGCUAUUUUUUUCAGUAAUGGUGUUAGUGGGGGCCUCAUGUAUGAGUUUCGCCUAAGGCCUCGCCAAGUCUAGAGCCGCCACUGCUCUUAAUAUAUGGCCAAAAUGAUCUGCUUUCAUUUUCAUGGAUUACACGAACUUCUUACUGUCGCUAGAUAACUAUUACACAAGGGAACACAGUGCUAAAUACCCAGCGGGUGUAAACAGGGUGAGGUGGGAGAGAAAAAGGUGGGUGUAAACAGGGUGAGGUGGCAGAGAGAGAGAAAGGUGGGUGUAAAUAGGGUAAGGUAGGUGUAAAUAGGGUGAGGUGGGAGAGAGAAAGGUGGGUGUAAAUAGGGUGAGGUGGGAGAGAGAAAGGUGGGUGUAAAUAGGGUGAGGUGGGAGGGAGAGAGAAAGAUGGGUGUAAAUAGGGUGAGGAGGGGAGAGAGAGAGAAAGGUGGGUGUAAAUAGGGUGAGGUGGGAGAGAGAGAAAGGUGGAAAAAGGAGGUGGGAGAGAGAAAGGUGGGUGUAAAUAGGGUGAGGUGGGAGAGAGAGAAAGGUGGGAGGGUGAGGUGGGAGAGAUGUAGGGUGAGGUGGGAGAGAGAGAAAGGGGUGGGGUGAGGAGAGAUAGGGUGAGGUGGGAGAGAGAGAAAGGGGGGUGUAGGGUGAGGUGGGAGAGAGAGAGAAAGGUGGGUGUAAAUAGGGUGAGGUGGGAGAGAGAGAGAGAAAGGUGGGUGUAAAUAGGGUGAGGUGGGAGAGAGAGAGAAAGGUGGGUGUAAAUAGGGUGAGGUUGGAGAGAGAGAGAAAGGUGGGUGUAAAUAGGGUGAAGUGGGAGAGAGAGAGAAAGGUGGGUGUAAAUGGGGUGAGGUGGGAGAGAGAGAGAAAGGUGGGUGUAAAUAGGGUGAGGUGGGAGAGAGAGAGAAAGGUGGGUGUAAAUAGGGUGAGGUGGGAGAGAAAUAUGGGUCUGUGGGUGUACAAUUGGAAUGAGUGUCAGGUGACAGAAAAAAGAGAGGAGAGACAGAUCAGACAUUAGGGAAGAAAGAGUCAGAGACACAUAAUGAAAAUAAAAUCACAUUCAAAGGAAGGAAAUUGCAUGCAAACACAGCACUGAAGUCACAAAUGGUGACAUGGUGGUGUUUGUUUUUACACACUGAUAAUCUACAGGCAUAUGGUUUUGCAUUCACACACAUACUGACACUUCUCACAAAUAGAGUACUACAGUCACACACUGAUACUGACUGCUCAAAUAAAUACAAGAACAUUCUGAACAUGAAUACACACAAACAUUCACACACCAACAAUCCACUUAAUUUACACACACAGCUUCUUCCACACAAAUACAUUUUAGAUCCCUUCAUAUACAUAGACACAAACACUACACACAAGUACACUCACUCCUAGGCAUACUGACACUUCAUACAAAUAUACUCCUGCAUUCACACAACUAAUUUGAAUACUAUUAUACCCCUGCAUCCACGUCCCAUAAUUCCCUAUAAAUCAUGUAUGUCAAACUUGGGGAGCCGCAUGCGGCCCACAACUAAUAUGUUUGCAGCCCGCGCCAAGGUUGAGCUGAGUGUAAGCUCUCCCUGCUCAGCUACCCGCAGUGACGCCAGGAGCUGGAAUGUGACGUCACAUUCCAGCUCCCGGCAUCACUCUGCGGCAUGCGAGGGAGCUGAGCAGGGAGAGCUCAAUAUCAAUGCUCCCUUGCUGCCUGUUUGCCCCCCUGCCUGCCUGAAUGUACACCUGCCCAGCACUCCCACUAGACACCAGGUAAGAAAUCCACCCAGCUCUCCCAAAGUUAGGGAGGCUGGGUGGAUUUAAAUUAAAAUAAUAAUGAAAAAAAAGUGUUGGGGGGAAAUGUGUGUGUGUGUGGGUGUAUGGUGUAUGUCUGUGUGUGUAUUGCUGUCUGUGUGUGCGUAUGUGUAUGGCUUCCUGUUUGUGUGUGGCUGUGUAUAUUCCUGUCUGUGCGUGUGCAUGGCUGUCUGUGUGUAUAUGGCUGUCUGUGUGCAUGGCUGUCUGUCUGUGUGUGUAUUGCUGUAUACAUGGCUGUCUGUGUGUGUAUAUAUGGAUGUGUGUGGCUGUGUGUGUGUCUCUGUCAGUGAGUCUGUCUGUGUGUGUGUAUGUCAGUGUGUGUCUGUGAGGAAGCCUGUGUGUCUGAGUGAUUGUGUGUGUCUGUGAGUGAGUGUGGGUGGGUGUUUAUGAGGGAGCCUGUUUGUCAGUUAGUGUGUGUCUGUCAAUGAAUGUGUGUGUCUGUGAGUGCAUGUGUGUGUGUCUGUCAGUGAGUGUGUCUCAGUGAGAUUUAGUGAGAACAGGGGCAGGGGUAGACGGAGGGACUAGGAUUUAGUAGACAAGGGGGGACUGGGAUUUAGUAGACAAGGGGGGACUGGGAUUUAGUAGACGAGGGGGGACUAAGAUUUAGUAGAUGGCACUUCCUGCCCUGUAGCACAAAAAAACCUGUGCUAGGGCGUCGCUGGACGUCCUCACACUGUGUGAGGACCUCCAGCGUCGCUCAUUUCCCCAUAGGAAAGUAUUGAAAAGCAUUUUCAAUGCUUUCCUAUGGGGAGCUCUAAAGUGCAUGCGCGGCAUUGCAGCACAUGAGCAUUAGGUCUCCCCGGCCGGUGGGCGGGAUCAGUCUCGCCCACCGGCCUCAUAAAGACUGGGAGGAGCGGCGGCGAGAAGAAACCACCGCCGAGGGACAUCGCGGGGCCUAAGGUAAGUGACCUGAAGGGGUUUUCAACCCUUCAGCUAUCGGGGAUGGGGGGUGGGAGGGAGAGAGGACCUGCAGUGCCAGGAAAACGGAUUGUUUUCCUGGCACUGGAGUUUCCCUUUGAUGAACUGUCUACCAGUUUAUUUACCUGAGAGUGUGUCUGUGUCUGUGUGUGUGUGUGAAUGUAUGUCUCUGUGAAUGUAUGUCUCUGUGAGCAUGUUUGCGUUUUGCUUGUGAGCAUGUAUGUGUAUGGGGUAGCUGCUUGAAGUGUGUUGUGUGCAUGGGGGUCUGCUUGUAGUCUUUGUGCAUUGUGUUUAUGGCACAGCUAUGUUUCCCGACUGAGCGUUGCCAGCAUAUUGCGGAGCUGCAGACCGGUGUCUGUGAUGGCUGGCUGGGUAGACAGGAGGGGCCUCGCACCCGAUGGCAUACUGAGCAAGCCGCCGGGCCACCUCCUGGUGUCAGGUCCUCGGUCACUGACUGAGGACCCGACACAGUCUGCCCUAAGGCAGUUUAGGCAGGCGCGAGGCCUUUGACGGUCACCUAAACCACCUAAUUAGAGAGCCGCCUCUGCCUGGCAAGCUGGCAGGAUCCUGCCUGUCACAUGUGGGUUUUGUGCACAAUCUAAUAGUUUAAAAAAGUUAGCUAUUGUAUGAGCUAUAUUUUUUUUGCAUUUUAUUUUAAUUAGCGCUGUUCAACGGGUGAACUUACUUUCACGUAUUUGUUACCAGACGAGUUGGACGCACAGGAACAGAGGGAUUGCGGGCCAUGCUCAAUGAGCUUACAUGCCAGAGGGAGUGGGGUAUAGUGACACAAAAGGUAAUGGUAGGCUAGAAAAGUAGGUUACUAGGAUAGUAUUCACUGAGGGUUUAGUGUGUUUGUUUUUUAUGACAGUUGCAGGAGAGGAAUCAGGGUGCAGGGAGAGAAAGCUAUUAACAGUUUCAUUGAUACACUUUCCUAAAGAAUUGCGUAUAUUGGAUAAAGUGUCUAUAUGUUUAGAACAUGCAGUAUGUAUAGAGCAUGCAGUGUGUAUACCGAAUGCAGUGUGUAUAGAGCAUGCCGUGUGUAUACCGAAUGCAGGGUGUAUAGAGCAUGCAGUGUGUAUACCGAAUGUAGUGAGUAUAGAGCAUGCCGUGUGUAUACCGAAUGCAGGGUGUAGAGAGCAUGCCAUGUGUAUACCGAAUGCAGGGUGUAUAGAGCAUGAGUGUAUAUACCAAAUGCAGGGUGUAUAGAGCAUGCCGUGUGUAUACCGAAUGCAGGGUGUAUAGAGAAUGCCGUGUGUAUACCGAAUGUAGUGUGUAUAGAGCAUGCCGUGUGUAUACCGAAUGCAGGGUGUAUAGAGCAUGCCGUGUGUAUACCGAAUGCAGGGUGUAUAGAGCAUGCAGUGUGUAUACCGAAUGCAGUGUGUAUAGAGCAUGCUGUGUGUAUACCGAAUGUAGUGUGUAUAGAGCAUGCCGUGUGUAUACCGAAUGCAGGGUGUAUAGAGCAUGCUGUGUGUAUACCGAAUGCAGGGUGUAUAGAGCAUGCAGUGUGUAUACCGAAUGUAGUGUGUAUAGAGCAUGCCGUGUGUAUACCGAAUGCAGGGUGUAUAGAGCAUGCAGUGUGUAUACCGAAUGCAGGGUGUAUAGAGCAUGCAGUGUGUAUACCGAAUGUAGUGUGUAUAGAGCAUGCCGUGUGUAUACCGAAUGCAGGGUGUAUAGAGCAUGCAGUGUGUAUACCGAAUGCAGUGUGUAUAGAGCAUGCUGUGUGUAUACCGAAUGCAGGGUGUAUAGAGCAUGCUGUGUGUAUACCGAAUGCAGGGUGUAUAGAGCAUGCAGUGUGUAUACCGAAUGCAGUGUGUAUAGAGCAUGCCAUGUGUAUACCGAAUGCAGUGUGUAUAGAGCAUGCAGUGUGUAUACUGAAUGCAGUGUGUAUACUGCAUGCAGUGUGUAUACUGCAUGCAGUGUGUAUAGAGCAUGCAGUGUGUAUACCGAAUGCAGUGUGUAUAGAGCAAGCAAUGUGUAUACUGAAUGCAGUGUGUAUAGAGCGUGCAGUGUGUAUACCGAAUGCAGGGUGUAUAGAGCAUGCAGUGUGUAUACCGAAUGUAGUGAGUAUAGAGCAUGCCGUGUGUAUACCGAAUGCAGUGUGUAUAGAGCAUGCAGUGUGUAUACCAAAUGCAGUGUGUAUAGAGCAAGCAAUGUGUAUACUGAAUGCAGUGUGUAUAGAGCAUGCCGUGUGUAUACCGAAUGCAGGGUGUAUAGAGCAUGCAGUGUGUAUACCGAAUGUAGUGAGUAUAGAGCAUGCCGUGUGUAUACCGAAUGCAGGGUGUAGAGAGCAUGCCAUGUGUAUACCGAAUGCAGGGUGUAUAGAGCAUGAGUGUAUAUACCAAAUGCAGGGUGUAUAGAGCAUGCCGUGUGUAUACCGAAUGCAGGGUGUAUAGAGAAUGCCGUGUGUAUACCGAAUGUAGUGUGUAUAGAGCAUGCCGUGUGUAUACCGAAUGCAGGGUGUAUAGAGCAUGCCGUGUGUAUACCGAAUGCAGGGUGUAUAGAGCAUGCAGUGUGUAUACCGAAUGCAGUGUGUAUAGAGCAUGCUGUGUGUAUACCGAAUGUAGUGUGUAUAGAGCAUGCCGUGUGUAUACCGAAUGCAGGGUGUAUAGAGCAUGCUGUGUGUAUACCGAAUGCAGGGUGUAUAGAGCAUGCAGUGUGUAUACCGAAUGUAGUGUGUAUAGAGCAUGCCGUGUGUAUACCGAAUGCAGGGUGUAUAGAGCAUGCAGUGUGUAUACCGAAUGCAGGGUGUAUAGAGCAUGCAGUGUGUAUACCGAAUGUAGUGUGUAUAUCCACAGUCAAGCGCUGAAACAACAAGGCAAUAUCCCCAACCUCCCAGUAACCGGACAAAACACAGUUCUGAGAGUCAACUGAAAUCCUUUAAUUCUGCUGCACAAUUUAUACAAGUCCCCAUGCAAGGGGUUUCCUGAGUCCCUUUCCAGGGGCACUCCCAGAGGGGACUACAUGGGGGACUUACAUUACAAGGCAUUUCUCCCAUCAGGCACUGCUGCACGAGAGGGAUCCUCCCACUGUAAUAUACCGUUAAGUGGAUUAUCCCUCCGUGCAGCAGAACUUACAAUUCGUAUAAAAAUGUAUAACUUUAUGAAUAUGCAGUCUAUUUAAACGAAUGGGCGUUCGGUAGAUAGCUGGAGUCUGAGCGCAUCAUUCGUGAGAUUACCGCUCAGAUCCCAGCUAAAAUAACCGAACGCCGCACGAAAAACACAUUCAUUACAAAACAUAUUAAAAGAACCGAUUGCCUUCCAGGGAAUAAAAUACCGAACGCCUGAAACUCCCGAACGUCCUGGAGGCUCAGCGGUGUUCGUGCCGUCGAGUAGCCGUUUUUAGUACCAUGCGCUCGACGACCUAGCACCGCUGAGGGAACAAAGGAUCCAAGAUGGCCGACCGCCGCAUGGUCGGUAGUCGAACGACGGCCACCCAGGAGAGCCUCUAAUUACCGAUUGCAACAUUGUUGCAAUCGGUUAACCAGCGCCACACGCCUCUAAGUGUGUGGGCUAUUAGGGUUAGUGUUUUCGGUUCACGAACGGCCUUCCAAAGUGCCGUUCGUGAAACGAAAGGAAAAACCCCAUACAAACCGCUAUCUGCAUUCGGCAGAUAGCAAAUACAUGUAAUCCAAUACAUUACAGUCAGCAUACAAUAUACGUAGUUAAACACAUAUCUCCCCAGACAUAUAGGCAACCCUUAAAGGUAUAGUCUCUGGUUGUAGUCCAAGUGGCUAGGUUUGCCACAGUCAGUUUUUACACCAAAUUUUGCUGACUAGUUGCAGUGUGGGUAACAGUGUGUGAACCUUUGAUGUCUGAGUUUUCUCCCUUCUCCUGGCAGAUCCUUUCCUUCUCAUUCCUGCAGAGUUCAGUGUGAGGGGGCAGGGCCAUGCACAGACUGAAUGCAGCAAUCCCAGACUCCUGAAGCCAGCAUAUACAGAAUUGGAGGGGAUCAUAAUGGGCAGAGCAGGUUCCCCUUACAGGACCGGUGUCUAUAGGCUUGUUCUGCCCAAUAGGAAAUCCAUCCCAAGGCAUGAGGGUUGCUUAAAAGCACCUUUGUAUCAAUGUGUGGGUAUUAUUGACCCCGAUAGCCUUAUAUUUAAUUUAUGUUUAAUGACUAACAGUAAUAGCCUUUAAACAUUUAAACAUGGUGCCAAAGCACUUUUCUUUGUCAAGCAGCUGACCUGUUCAUCAGAUUUGACUAAUAGAAUUUCUCUGGCAUUAAAUAAAGUUAAAAUUAGACAAUUUUAUUCGUUUUCUAGGUUUGCAAACAAAUAUAUAGAGUUAAAAAUCACAUUUUAUUAGAGAACAUAAGUAUCAAAAUAAAAUCAUCACACCACAUCUAACUCCCUAAGGAGAGCUAAUGAGCUCAGCAAACCUGAUUGGGAGGAGGGAUAGCAGAAUAUAGGAGGCUACUGAAUGGCAAAUAGUGAAUGGAAUAUAAGGUGGAGAUCUAUAAACUAUAACCCUCACCAGCAAUGAAGCCAGUCUGUAGUGCUAGAUGCAAAUGCACCGGCAGCCUCAUGUUGCCGGCUUUUAAGAUCUGUCAGAUUGUACACACCUGGCUGCUCUGUUAAAAUACCGAAACAAUAUAUCUCGCAGUUAUUGUACAAAAAGAUCUGCAUGAAUGCAACAGGAGACUAAAGUAUAAACAAACAAGCCUUCACUAGACUAAUCGUAUAUAUAUGACUUCAAGGUCACUAUAUGAAGAAAUAGAACAAGGGCUUUGCAAAAGUGUAGAGUCCACCUUAUUAGUAAAAAAUACAAACAGGCACAAUAACCCAUUGUAUGCCUACUACCUCAUAAGUCGCUGGCUGAAUAUAUGGAUGUUAAAUACACUAAAUAGCCAUAGAGAUAAGUCCAUUAAUAAUUUCCUUCCUAAGAAACCCCCAUCAUAGAGAGUAGUCCCUUAAGUUAUGCUCUAUAGAUCCUCUAAGCAUAACAAAAAAGUGCCAAACUAAACAAAAGUAUUUUAUUUUAUUUUUAUAUUAUUUUCACGGCAUUUUUUAGUUUGGCACGUUUUUGUUAUGGUUUUGGGAUUUGUUGUUCUACCCAGAUCAGGGGAUGUAAGAUUUAUGGGGAUAUGUUGUUUUUUGGGGUACUUAUUGGACUUUUUAAAAAAUGUGUGUUUUUUCUGCCCGUGGAUAAUUAAGUUAAUGCAUUAACUACCCUAAUUAUAUCACAGGCAGAGGUAUAAAAAUCCAACCUGUACCAUUAAACUCUCAGACCUUCUUACCCUCAACUCGCAGCCUCGUCUCAUGUUGUAGUGAACUGCUAUAUGACUACAAGGGAUUGCUAUGAUCAUCAUGCUCCCUUGGAUAAUCACUAGCUCUUGUAAGAGCUGGUACUGCUACGCUCUCUGGAGCAAGAGAGGUUCACCCACUGGAGCCCUGUCAUAGGUCCAGGGUGGGUUGGAGACGGCGAGACCCCAACCAAGCUGCGGUGGUUUGUGGGGUCUGCAGUUCUUAUGGUAUCUGGUGCAGUGCUGAUGGUCCUUGGUGAGCACUAGGAGCAUCCGUUGACGGAGGGUCAGUCACACAUACAUCUUACCCAAAUGGCAACAGCUGUUCCAGAUGAUUCCCCUAAAAAUCCCAUUUAGCUGGCUGAUGAUGAUUCAAAAUAGUUUUGACACAUUCAUAUAGAAGGGCAAGAGACCAAGAAUCAAUAGAACGGUCUUAGCGAACAAAAUAAAAAAAGUGGAGUUAAUAUGGCCCUUAAUGAUCAUAUUUACAAAGCCACCAUGAUAACUCAUAUCUAUAGAUCCCAACUGUUGUCCUCUAGAGACGAACCUUAGCGAACCUUGGCGACUUGAAUGCAAUCUUUCAGAGAUUAAAAAUUGGAAUAUGCUGAUAUGGAAUCCCAAAAGGAAAAAAGGGAAGAACGAGACAGGUUGUAGCAGUAGCUUGGUAGCUGAAAAUCUAAUGUAUCAGUGGGAUUAGAAAUAUGAAAAUGGACAAAAGAAUCCGGCCGUAUCUCCAAAUAGAGGAUCUUAGCAUUAAAACUUGGAUAACUGCUGGAAUAGGUUAUAUUAAACAAUUGAUUCAAGGAAACAAUAUCAAAACCUUUCCCCAAUUACAAGCGGAAUUCUGCCUACCAAGCCAAGAAUUAUUUACCUACCUCAAACAUUUUGUAAAUAUUUAUGUUUUGAGACCCUUUCCUGUUCAUGGCUCCCCUCUACUUGGAUUGUUUAACUAUAAGGGUGCCAAAAGGCUUAUCUCCAAAGCCAUAGAUUGCAUAAAAUCAAUUUUCUCAAUCCCUGUUCAGUCAGCAAUACUUAAGUGGAAAAAAGAACUAGGUUAUAAUAUUGUCAACUAUGUUACAAAAAAUGUACAUUGUUUAAAUUAUGUAGAAACAUUCUAUAAAGCAACCAACAGGUGGUACUAUGUCCCAGACAGGUUACACAAGAUCUAUCCAACAUAUCCUGAGGCUUGUUGGAGAUGUAACCAAAUGGAUGAUACAUAUGAACAUAUUUAGUGGGGAUGUAUAGGCAUAAAAAAAUAUGGCAUUGGAUAUUUGCUCUAUUACAAGAUAUGGGUAUUAAACGUUUUAAAUCUCCAACUGUGGCUUUUCUAUGUCUAGACUGGCCCAUCCUAGAACAAUUAAACCAGUGCCUAAUUAUCCACUGCUUUAUUGUCAUUCAAUUGUUGAUUGCUCGUUCAUGGAGAAACCCAUUAAUUCCUUCAUGGGCACAUAUAAAAAAAAAAAAAAUCUAAUUAUCUUGCAAAUGAACAUGGAGAAGAAAUAUACCUAUAUUAACUCCCCUUCUGCAAAAAACAAACAAAAUCAAUAAUUUAGAAAGAUGGACCCAUCAUAUAGAACAAUGGUCCCCAUUCCCCUGUGUAGAUGACCAAAAUUAAUUCUUAACUAUUAUCCCCAAUGAAAAUCAAUAAUAAGGAUAUCCAAUAUUGUAAUCUGUGAGCUCUGACCGCCUUUUUGUUUGAAACUUUAUGUUUGUAUUGAUAUUCGUCUAAGGAAGAUAAUAGAGAAUACUGUUUUUUCUAUUCUCACUAGUAGACAAUGUGCAUUGCCAUUGGUGUGUAUGCUUUUUGUUUCUUUUCUGCAUAAAUGUGUAUUUUCUUUCUCAAUGCAAAAUCAUAAAUUAAAAAGAUUAUAUUAAAAAUACAUUUUUUUUCCCUACAAAUAAACUAACAAACAAAGGCUUCACCAACCUCUAGAUUGUCACAUACAAUCUCAUACACUUUAUUACAUGGUCAAUUCUGGAUUUACUUUCAUGAUUUAUAAUUUAUUUGAUAAAUUGUCUCCAACGUGGGAUCACCACUCACAUUCCUGUCCUGUCCUUGCCUCAGUGCUAUUUCAUGCCUCAAUAGAAUAUAGAAAUGCACUCAGAGAGUUGGCAAUCGUGUGCAAUAAUUAUUCCUUUAUUGUGCAAAGGUCUUGAAAAAAGUGUGAGAGGGAAUAAAAUGUUGACUGUAUCACCUUUUCAAAAAUAAUGGGAUAAUUAUUGCACAAGGUUACAAGUUUGCUGAUAAUAAAUGUUAGUGUAGAAGCUAAAAUGGAAGGAGAAUGGAGAUCAGCGGUUUAAACAGUCCAGGUUUGGUACACGUAAUUCAUAGUUUAGCAGCUGGUCUGAAUGAUCAAGAAGCUUCAAAAUAAUCAAGCACUUUGAAUCAGGCCUCUAAGUAGUGUGAGGAAGCCUGUGUUAGAGAAGGGGGCGUCAUUGGUCUGUGAACACAGAAGUGUCAGAUAUCUGAGAAGCCGAUAGUUAAGUUCUGACAGUAUGUCUGUCAGUGUGUAUCUGUCUGUCAGUGUGUGUCUGUCAGUGAAUGUGUGUAUGUGUGUCAGUGUGUGUCUGUGAGUGUGUGAGUGAGUGAGUUUUUUCUGUCUGUCAAUGUGUGUCUUUAAGGGAGCUUGUGUGUCUGAGUAAUUGUGUGUGUCUGUUAGUGAAUGUGUGUGUGUCUGAGUGAUUGUGUGUGUGUGUGUGAGCAGGUGUCUGAGUAAUUGUGUGUGUGUCUGUGAGUGUGUGUGUGUCUGAGUGAUUGUGUAUGUCUGUCAGUGUGUGUGUCUGUGAGUGUGUGUCUGUCAGUGAGCAUGUGUGUGUCUGCGUCAUUUUGUGUAUGUCAGUGAAUGUGUAUGGGUCUGUCAGUGUGUGUGUCUGUCAGUGAGCUUGUGUGUGUCUGCGUCAUUUUGUGUAUGUCAGUGAAUGUGUAUGUGUCUGUCAGUGUGUGUCUGUGAGUGAGUCAAUGAUUAUGUGUGUCUGUCAGAUUGUGUCAAAUCAGUGAGUAUGUGUGUCUGUCAGUUAAAGUGUGUGUUAGUCUUUAACAGGAAGAGGUGUGGCCUUGACAGGAAGGGGUGGGGCAGAUUUAAAUUAGGGGGUGCCCGAGUUCCGUCAUGCCUAGGUCAUCACAGAUGCACAAUACACCACUGAUGACAAUGGAAUGGUAUCUGAAAACCUGGGCGCUACUAUAGGUUAGGUACUAAUUAUGAUAUAUUCCAUGAAUUUUAGUCAUAUAUACCAUGUGGUUUAGUCACUGCACUGGGAUAGUGGAUUGAUUAAUUUUAACCCAAAAACUAGCUCCCAACAGUCCCCGAUGUGGUGCAACAUCCUUGCUUACGAGUUCCCUCCUCUCUCCUGUUUGGUUCACUGAUGUCACAACGCGAGCACAUCAUUUUACACAAUUGUGCUGUGCUGAGGGCACAAGGACUAUGCAGAGUGCUCUAAAUAUGGCUGCCCUAUGUGGGACAAGCCAGGGAAGCUGUCAGUCUGGUGUACAGUCUCGCCAGCCUGGCAUGCCCUUUCUUUGGAUGGUCCCCUUUUCUGUGUGGGAUCGCCCAUUUUUGGCAUCGCCAGUGAUGCAAUUAGUGUCACUAUCACAUUCUUUUAGGCCUACCGACCCCCUGUCCAGAGCUCAUUCCUUUCCCAUAGUGGGAAAAAGUCAAACAUGAAAAAAUGGUUUGAGUCAACUAUGUUUUCAGUUUAACUAUUUUGGCCUAAACAUUGAAAUUCACUUUGAACUUUGGAAAAACUUAAGUAACACUUUAGUAAAUAGCUCUGUAAGUGUUGGAUUGCAAACCAUAAGGACUUUAUUAUUUGCUACCUACAUUGGUUUAACCAUAUUCUGUGCAUGUAAUCCAUCACAAUGAUACAACAACAGUGAAAGAGUUAAAGUAUAAUUUCUCUUGUUCUUUCAGGUUGUCUAGGAAUUCUGAAUAAUGACUGAAUUAACUUACUCUGGUAAGUGUUGGCAUAAAAUAUUUUGGGGAUUAUUAAUUAAAUGGAAGGUUGGAAUCUGAUGAAAUUCACCAUUCCUCUUAGCUGCCCAAAGGUUUCCUGAGUGAACACAUUGGGGAGUCCAACUGGAAUUGCGAGAUCUCCAGAAUUGGACAAGAUACGUCUACAGGCUAGUCAAGCCACACCUCCCAGGGUUGACUUACACAGACCCCCUACACACUUCCUGUAAACAAAGUCUACAUUUAUUGGCUUGCCUUACUGCACUGUGUGUUUAAUAUAGAAAUUGAACCUACAUCAGUCUCCUGUGUGACAUUGAAAUUAAAAGUAAAUAUACUGUGCUGUAAAAUAUAUAUAUUUUUUUUCAUGUAGGCUGUGUAAGUCACAGGGGAGGUGUAACUAGGGCUCAUUAACAAACUGAUCUAAAGGGACGCUAUAGGCACCCAGACCACUUCAUCUUAUUAAAGUGAUGUGGGUGCAGUGUCCCCAUGUCUCCUUAACCCUGCAAUGUAAAAUAUAUUUUAUUUAAGGCUACAGAAAAAUACUUUAAACUCCCUUCUUAUUAAUACAUAGGGUAGGUGAUGAGCUUAUUUACUAUGGCAUCAAUGGGGCAUGGAGACACCGAGCACUGUUAGUAUGAGAAAGGUUGUAUAGGUGAUGGUCAAAACUUUGGACAAAAGAAUUAGACGUCUCCUGGUCCUGUGUUAGUAAUGGGGAAAUCACUAUAUCAGAGUCCAGGUUUUGAGGAACCCCUGGCUCUCCCUUAUAGGAGAUCAGUGAACCUGACAAGUUCACAUUCUUUCAUGAGUGGAUUUAAUUGAUUUGGCGAUCUCAAAGCUCACUUUAUAUCUGUCUUAGAAUGGAAUGAUGGGAGAGGGGAUCCCUGAUGAGAUCAUUAUCUCCCACCCCUGUGUCCACACAGAGUGAAGGAAUCGGCUCUCACCAUUUGGAGGGGCUUGAUCUUAUAUUUCGUGGGGUGAGGAACAUUCCAGGACCCCUCUGUUAUUCCGAUUCCCUUCUUUCAGCAGUGCUAUUUGUUUAUGAUUUGCUACGCACACUUUAUUUGGUUCCCUUUAUUGCAUGAUUUGUAAUAUAGUAUUUAUUUUCAGCAGGUCUCUUCUCGUGCUUUAUAUUUUGUUCACAUAUCAUGCCUGUACAAUGUAAGUAUUCAUUUUAAAGUAACUGUCAUUGUAACUUGUUACUAUUCUUAAUGAGAAUAUGGAAUAACUUAAAGGAACACUCCAAGUACCAUAACUACAGCAGGUGUAGUGAUUAUGGUGCACCUUCUCCCCCACUGAAAGUAGUCAAACCAUUUUAGAACAAUAUGACUUUUUACCUGGUGUCAGACAGACCUGGCUCCCUGCCUCCACUACUUCUGCAAGACAGCUGACAUUGCAAUAAUUAUCUGAUUGUCUGAGAGCAGUCAGCUGACUCUCUCUGCCAGUGAUCUAACCCUGCUUCAGAGCUUCCAGCAUCUCCAUCAGCAGUAGCGGAGACAAGGAGUAGCACUCGGUGAACCACAGUUAAGAAAUUAAAGGACCACUCUAGGCACCCAGACCACUUCAGCUUAAUGAAGUGGUCUGGGUGCCAGGUCCAGCUAGGGUUAACCCAUUUUUUUUAUAAACAUAGCAGUUUCAAAGAAACUGCUAUGUUUACAAAUGGGUUAAUCCUUCCUCCAAUUCCUCUAGCGGCUGUCUCAUUGACAGCCGCUAGAGGCGCUUGCGUGAUUCUCACUGUGAAAAUCACAGUGAGAACACGCAAGCGUCCAUGGGAAAGCAUUGUAAAUGCUUUCCUAUGAUACCGGCUGAAUGCGCGCGCAGCUCUUGCCGCGCGUGCACAUUCAGCCGAAAAGGAGGAGAGGAGGAAGAUGCCCGGCGCUGGAGAAAGGUAAGUUUUAACCCAUUUCCUCUCCCCAAAGCCCGGUGGGAGGGAGACCCUGAGGGUGGGGGCACCCUCUGGGCACUAUUGUGCCAGGAAAACGAGUUUGUUUUCCUGUCACUAUAGUGGUCCUUUAAACCAUUAGCACAAGGUUUGACUACUAACAAUGGGGGGAAAUGAAGGCACUGCUGGCCCAAAAACCACUGCAUGGUUCCAAGAGCCCAUGUUUAACCCCUUAAGGACACAUGACAUGUGUGACAUGUCAUGAUUCCCUUUUAUUCCAGAAGUUUGGUCCUUAAGGGGUUAAAGCAAAACUAUAAAAAAAAAAACAAUAAAAAAAUGGAUUGUUUCUCACAAAAACAACAAAUAUAAGCAAUUUAUUUUAAUGGCUUAUUAUGACAUAUUUACUAAUUUACUAAAAAAAAUCCUGGUAGGUUACAGCAAAAAAAACCCCCAACAAACUCCAAAUGGGUUGUUCAUUCUGUGUUUUGGUAGCUUGAGUGUCCCUUUAAUAUAUCUGUCACAUAUUUACUAAAACAAUGAACUGCCCCAAGGACAAAUUUGUGUUUUAAAAAUCCGGCUAUUAUAAACUGUGUGUGAAUGUAUCUUUAACUGGCUGUCUCUCCACUACUAACUCUGCCUCAGUUUAUUCUAUAAUCUCUGAUUGCAGGAAUCCUCUCUCUUCUCUUGGGAGUGUGAUUAUAUGGUUAAAUGAGGAUACCUGAGAGUGCUGAAGUAAUUUUAUUUGGCAAAGGAGAGUUCCAAACUAUAUGAACAUUAAAAAUUAAAUUCCAGCGUACUCCCUUAUCUACUAAACAGAUUUUGCUAGUUUUAUUAAAAACACCUAAUCUAGGCAAAAAUAAUAGGGGUUUAUGCCUGCCACAACAUCAAUGUACUCCAUCGUUGGCAGGUCCUACUCUAACAAACUAUAUGAACAUAGCAUAAAUGUAUCGUAGUGGAAUGUGACAUUCUCCAUCAUCAUUUCAGCAGUUUUUGAAAUAUUGUGGAGGUAUGUUUAUAAGUUCUGUGUUAUCUAUUUUAGAGGAAAGGUUGGAGUUAUAGAGGUAGGCUGCUGAGCUAGGGGCAGGAAAAGUUUAAGACAGGUAAAAGGAAAAGUGCAGAGAUUGGUGGAGAAUUGCUGAUGGACAAGACAGUGGAGGUUCCUGUGUGAUCAAUUUAUUUUGGGUUUGUCAAGUUGGGUAUAAGGUAUGCUGAUGCUGAAGGUCAACAGGUGAUGGUCAAGAGAUGGUGAAGAUAUGGUCACAGUGUUGCCAUCUGUAUGAGUUGAUGAUUUAGUCAACUGAGUGAGGCCAAAGGAGGAGGUCACAGAUAGGAAUUGGGAGGCAUCAGAGCUGUUUGGGGUAUUGAUAGGCAUAUUCAACUGCCCAGCGAUGAGAGAAGGUGUUCUUCAAGAGAGGAAAUAGGAAAGCUGGGAUGAGAAAAGUGUUCAGGGAAUAGGCAAGCAUGACCAAAAGUCUUUGAUGACCUAUCAGAAUGCACAUAUAGCCACACAUUCUCCAGGAAGCUAGCAUUCUAUCUAAUGAGCUUGUCUUCCUUUCAGUAGGUGAACAAGACCAGAAACCUUGUAGAGGAGUGUUUCUUGCCACUGAACAAAUCCAAAAUCAACACCUUGAAAUUAGGAAGGAUUUUUACAUGCUCUGCCGUCAUACCCCCACAGAUACUUCAGGGAUUUUCAAUUGUAGAAAGGGACUAAAAGCCAGUUUUUUGAACAGCAGAACUGUGGAGCUAAAGUCAGAUGGAAACAUUCAGAUCAAAGGCUGUCUUAUGUUUUAUGGAGCGUCAUACGCGGCAAAACUGCCAUUUUACGUAAUGAAGGUAAGCUGGGUGCGUGGGACAAUUGGGAGGGUUUCUUACAAUCUCUUCUAAAUCAGUUUUUAGUAAUAGUCAGUAAUAAUGGGGAAAAGGAAUGAUCAAGUUCAUAUCUAAUCUUCUAUUCCAGAGAGUGAGAUCAUACAGUUUCUAAAAUGUAAAUCUAAUUGGUUGAGAUCCAACAAAAACUAAAUAUUUAACAUUUGGACACGUCAUGGGAAAGACUUCAUACACAAUCGUCAUGAGACAGAUAGGACGAUAUUAAAUUAUAUUCAUUGUACAAUGGGGCACGGGAAUCCCAAACAAAAAACGACACCAUGAGCUGCCUAAUGUGUUUUAUUACUUAUUGGCACUCAUAGACCAGGACGUAAAGAAUUAAUAAUUUUAUCAUCUUUAAGAAGAUGUCAUUAUUCCUCAGUGACAGUUCCUUCCCUCAUCCCAAUAAAUGUUGUUAACCCCCUUAAGGACACAUGACAUGUGUGACAUGUCAUGAUUCCCUUAUAUUCCAGAAGUUUGGUCCUUAAGGGGUUAAAGUAUUUAAUGGUAGUGCAGCAGGUGUAGAUAUAAAACACACUUACCUCUGCUACACUUUGCUUUUAUCUUCCCAUACUGCAAUGAGGGCAUAUACCUUGUUACUAUAUGUUUACACUAUCACAGACACUCACCAUGGGAGUAAUAAUGACUUGCAUAGCGUUAUUUGCUGGAACCCAAUGUGCGGCAGGGACUAAGGGAGGAACUAAGUGGAACAGAACUGGGAGAUUUGUAUAAAUAAGGUUCUGUCAAUAUUCCAGGCAGGAAAGGUUCAAAUACAUUUUAGAAAGUCUGGGUCAAUACCAAAUAGAGCACUAUAUAGGGCAAACAAACGCCAAGUGUCUGGUACUAACAGAACAACUGAAGUGAGACAGCCAGUUGAGGGUUUAAACAUUUUUUAAAACAUAUUUUGUAUCUUUUUUGCUACUGGCUGGUGUAGAUGGUUGCCUAGUAGCUGGGGCACGAGCAGGAAUGACUAUGGUCCACCCCCCUGGGCUGUUCUGGAGCCUGUCCCAUCCUCACCGGGUUUUGUAGAUACAAGACAUGCUGUUGACCUGGCUAUGGAUUUAUUCAUAUUAUAUUUAACUACAUAGAACACAUUCCUCACUUACAUGUCAUGUUAUUGUGGAAAGUACGGCUCAGCCUGAUAUUAUUUUAUAUAAUAAGAUAUUUACUUCUAUCUGCUUACAGAGUGUGGGCGGCUAUUAGAAAAGAUGGUUGGAGAUUCCAAAUUGAAUUUUACCACUUUGUCACCACCUGGAAACAAAACUGAAGGUCUGUUUAAUGUCAUGUUUCACUAUCCUACCCCAGGUUUCAUUACUUUCGUACCAGUCCUCUACCACUCCUAGCAUCCUGUGUGAUGGUUAAACCUUGUCCAACCAUGUGAUGGAGAAGGCCCUAUAACUACUGAUGUAAGAACAUGGUCACAGACGGGGUAAUUGUGUAGUCAUCCCGCUGCUCUCUGGGUCCUGUUAAAUAUUGACUCAGCAGGAAGCUGGAAGCACAGGUGGCAAAGCUCUCUCUUCAUAAAUCCAUAUUGAUCUCUAUUCAUUAUCCAGCUUAGAUACAGUUUGUACUAGACAAAGGUUGGGGUAUGUGAUGUCAUAUAGGUGCGCAUGUUAUCUAUGAAACAGGACCUGUCUGAGAGCAAUAAGAAGGGACUGUGCCAUCAAGGCCACAAACACACUUUCUCCAACACACUGUCCCCCUCACACACACACACACACACACUGCACCCCUUACACAUUGCACCACUCACACACACCACUACUCCUAUGCCCUACUACAGCCCCAUUUCCCAGCAGACCUCAGGUAAGUUGUCAAACUGUUCUUAAACGGUUUGACUACUUACUCUGGGAGGGGGUACCGGCACUAUUGACACCAUAACCACUACACUAAGCUGUUGUGGUUAUUGUGUCUGGAUUAUUUCUUUCAAUAAUCUACAAGUGCCCCUCCCGAGAUCAGGCUCUGGAUCCGCCACUGGACCUGAUUAGGAUCCCCGGGGUUGUAAAGUAAUUGUGGAGGGCAUAAGUAAUGACAGCGGGCUCGCUAUCGGGUGGACAGGCACACAUGUAAAGAGCUAUCGGGUGGACAGGCACACAUGUAAAGCCCUGUUAGACCUUCUCUCUGUUAGAUCACUACAAUGGAUAGGACAUAUGAUUAAAGCAUUAAACAUGAGAUCAACAAGACUUAAACUAAAAUUAGGGCAUUAUGGUUAAGCACUGGAAACUGUGGUCAAACCAUGGGAGUCAGGUCCUAGAUAAUGAGGACAAAGUUUGGCUUUAGCCAACUAAUAGGCUCGGGAACUUGCAGGUGUGAGUUGGAAUAAUUUCACAGAGGUGAUGUUCGCCACCUGCAGCGUUGGAUCUUCUGCCUCUGUGGGUGAUGCGUAGGGGAAAUAUACCUGAUGGCUCUCGGCCCAGGCGAGCUCAAUGUUGGAUACGUAACAGUUUGGUAGCAAGUGGUGGCUCAAGAACCCCUCCUCCGUCCACUUUCCUGGCUUUCGGGCAUCUAGCUGCGCCCAGAAAUGGGCAAAGAAUUAAUCUAGAAGCAUUAGCAUGUGGUCCAGUGUUAAGCAUCCAGCAUCCACUGCUCAGGAUUAGGAGGCCCAUCCGCCAUUUUGAGGGGUAGCCUCGUGGCCUGUUCCCCAGCGGUGAUUGCUGCGUGUGGGAAGCGGGAUGAGUGGAGCCGAGCAGUGGCGGCUGCAUAACCCCCACCGGUCCAAAGGGGGGAGGUGUGGAUCAAGAGUCCCAGCAUCAGUUAAUUAACCAGGACAGCAGCCGUCUCGGUUUAUUAAAGGUACACUAUAGUCACCUAAAUUACUUUAGCUAAAUAAAGCAGUUUUAGUGUAUAGAUCACUCCCCUGCAAUUUCACUGCUCAAUUCACUGUCAUUUAGGAGUUAAAUCACUUUGUUUCUGUUUAUGCAGCCCUAGCCACACCUCCCCUGGCUAUGAGUGACAGAGCCUGCAUGAAAAAAAAAAUCUGGUUUCACUUUCAAACAGAUGUAAUUUACCUUAAAUAAUUGUAUCUCAAUCUCUAAAUUGAACUUUAAUCACAUACAGGAGGCUCUUGCAGGGUCAGAAAAUCUUAAUUAAACAGAACUUGCAAUAAAGAAAGCCUAAAUAGGGCUCUCUUUACAGGAAGUGUUUAUGGAAGGCUGUGCAAGUCACAUGCAGGGAGGUGUGACUAGGGUUCAUAAACAAAGAGAUUUAACUCCUAAAUGGCAGAAGAUUGAGCAGUGAGGCUGCAGGGGCAUGUUCUAUACACCAAAACUGCUUCAUUAAGCUAAAGUUGUUCAGGUGACUAUAGUGUCCCUUUAAAGUGUAGGCCGCAAGCCUCUUGUCGGAUUGCCUAGAAUUGGAGGUGCCACCCAGAGGUAUCACCAUGUGCUACAAUGGUCCCUGGUCACGAUUAUUGCAGUUUGCUGUCUGUAAAAUGCAAGUAACAGGGGAUUUACCCCGAAAUCUGUUGCCAGACGCGGGACCUCCUGCUAAGCACGUUUGGUCUGCUGGGCUCUCAGGCUCCGCCUCCAAUUCUUAUUUUUAUUUUGUGAUAAUUCUGUUUUGUCCUGACUUCUAUAUAUUUACAAUUAAAAUAACUCUUAAAUAUAUUUGUUUGAGGAGGUAAGGACUCCAAAUUGACGUGGAUAUAUUAAUAAUGUGUUCCCCAUUUUUUGUUUAAAUCCCCAGUUAUGGAGCAAGCUACCUCACAUGCUUAUUGGAGGACUCCUGUCAUUAUAGCCGCUGUCAUUGUGAUUGUGUUCCUUAUUACUAUGGGAAUAAUUAACAGGUAAGAGUGAUAGGUUUAACAGACCAUGUACAUAUAUAUAUUUUAUUUGUUUUAUAGAGUUAAAUCUGUGGUAUUGGAUUAAUUCGAACUAUAUAUAUAUAUAUUAAAGGAACACUCUGGGCACCAAAACACCUUCAUCAAAAUUAAGUAAUUGUGGUGCCAGAAGAUCCCUGGCGCUGGCUUACCUUAAGGGGUUCUUUCUCAAACGGUUUUUAACCCCAAAGUGUUUGUUCCAGUGCUGAAUUUCCCUGCUGAUCUGCCCUUCCAUUUUCUAAAAAUCUCUAAAGCAGAAGGCUCUAACAGAAUUGGGCAGUUUACUCUCUUGGACAAUCAUAAAACUGUUUUGAAAAGAAACAGGCAGGGAGACGGUGCUGGAACAAAGACUUUGAGGUUAAACUGUUCGAGAUUUGUUUAACCACUUAAGUGGAGCGAGCACCAGGGACCUCCUGGCACCAUAGCAAAUUAAUUUCAAUGGAGUGGUUAUGGUGCCAAAACUGUCCUUUUAAGGAUCUUUUAGCUUAAUGUUACUUUUUCACCAGAAUAUUAUUUAAUUGCUCAGGAUAAAGUUAAUGACAUGUUUUAGAAUAGAAUCAGUCUUUCUGAGAGGCAUUGAAGGUAGAUAGUUCAGUACAAUAUUUUGUGAUUAGCCAAUUGCGUAAUACAGUUUAAGGAAUAGCGCACACACAAAAAUGCAUCUUUAAAUUUGAGACGUCUACUUAAAUUUACCUAUCUCUGCAAACAAAUAUGGGGAUUCAGUUCUACUAUAGGUCCACCACUACGUCACUGUACCCAGGGCCGGACCUAGGGGCUGAUGGAGCUGCAGCUCCAGGCCCAGGCCCAUGGAAUAGGCCCAUUGAUUUGAAAAAAAAAAAGUAGUUUUUUUUUUUUUUUUUUUACACAUUACUCUUAGGGUUGAAAUAAUGAACAAAAGAAUAGUGUACCUAUAGAUUGGGAGAAAAUAGCAUGUGCCUAAACUUCUAAAUAGAAAAUUGAAGAUAUAAGGCACACGUAAAAAGAUCACAAGUGUGUUAGUACGUAUUCCAAGAUUUGCAUAAUGAAAUCACUCUGGGCUGGAGAGAAUUUAUUAGAUUUAUGAAGAAAAUAUCUGAUUGCGGUAAGGCCUAUGUCAUGAGGAAUGUUGUUAUAAAGAGCAACAACAUCCAGGCUCCCCAAAAGACAAUAAGGUGGUACAGAUUUUCUAAUAAGAUGAGAGUCUGAAUCAGUCCGAAUCAGACCAAUCUGUAUUGCCAGAGGUGGAACUGUUUCUACUAUUAGUAUAUUUUCUAGGUCUUUUGAUCUGAAAAAUGUUACCCUCCUGAAAAUCUCUAUGGUCUCUUAGAUAUUUGUCAUGUUUCUUUUCUCUAACGUGUUUCUUAAACCCUUCAAGAUUUUUUUGUAACUUAUUUUCCAGAAGGGGAAAUUCAGUUCUGUCUUUAAAAUUAUUUACAUUAGUCAAUUCCUUUUCUAGCUUUUUGUUCACCAUUUCUAGAUUGUUGGUUUCUAAUUUUACUAAAAACUGCAUAAGUCUGGCAGAACAAUCCAACAAUAUGUUGUUCCAUUCUUGGAUCUGUUCGUCUGUAAUAGCCUUAUCUUGGAGCGGUAUUUCAGGUCUUAGUCCCUGUGGUACCAAUUUAUGGUCCAGAUAUUGUUUAAGGCUAAUUAACUCCCAAUAACCUUUAAUUUGUUGUUGGUACAACUUUUGAAUUGUAAAAAAUACUUCACUAAUGUCGUUACUAGGUGGCAGAUUAAGAGGAUUUAAUGAAAAAACAUUAUUAAUGUCCGUAGGUCCAGGAUCAGGAUUUAUUACACCAGAUAGAAAAGUAGACAUAUUCUGUAGGGGGCUGUGAAAUGAGGUACUGAAACCUAGUGUAAAAUUGAUAGGGAAUAAACAAAAAAAGAAACAAAUGCCAUUCUACCUGUGUAUGAUUUACUGAGAAAAUUGUAGAUUAAAAAGUAACUUUUAAUAAAUAAAUCUAAAAUAAGAAUAUAAAAAAGAAAAAUAAAAUAGAAAAAUAAUAUGAACAGCAGGAGUAAAUGGAGACUAUACAGCGAGUAAAACUCUGUGACUACUUAUAUAUGCUGUAAAAGUGUAUACAUAAUAACACUAAUGCUGAAGCAAUACUGUUUAGCUACAAUAUAACAUCAGUGUAUUCCCAAGUAAUAGAAGUGAUACUAUAUUAUAUAUCACUAAUAGCUGUAGCAAAAAGGGGGGGGGAGGGGGGAGAUAAGACAACUGCUAAACCAGUGCUGUCAAUAGUUCAGCUAAGACAGAUUUCUGACAUGGCGAUUAGCCAGUUAAAUAUCACAAAAGCUGCCUAGAUCAUAGCAGCAUUUUGAUAAUAAAUUAAAGCUUGCUGUCAGGCAGUAAAGUGUAAAAUAAGGGGUUGCUGACCUGGCUCCGUUUUGUCCUGCAAGAUACCUAGCAGUAUAUUCUAGUGUAACAACAGCUGCCUGCACUGAAUGAUGUUAACUUAUGCUUGACCACAGUGGAGCACAAAGUAGUAGCUCACCUGUGAAAGACUGCUGACAGGCAGCAGUUAAGUGGUUAAAAAUCACACAAGUUGCCUAAAUACUAGCUGCAUCUAAAUAAUAGGUCAAAGUAUAAAGAGAGGGUUUACAAACAGUUUUGAACAGGUUGCCUAGGUAGUAGAAAAUAUACAGACAGUGACAGAGGAAGGCAUAUAGAAUAAAGAUUCCUGAGUCUUGUGCCUUCAAGGGCACCCCUUAAUAAAAUGCCUGGUCUUAUCAAUCUCCCCCCAUACACAUAAUAAAGGAAAAAAGAAAGAGAAAUAAAGUAUGUACAGAGUACACAAAAUUAGUGUUAAGAGUCUCCAAUAUGCACUCCUGAAAUGCUGGACAUAAAUGAACUUGAUGUCGGUAAUUUAGCAAUAGAUAAGCAGAGAGUUAGAUGCCGACACCAAUAAUGUGUCAGUAAGUGUCCAGAGCCCCUGACGUGCACGUUUCGCCAGUGAAGCUCAUCUGAUGAGCUUCACUGGCGAAACGUGCACGUCAGGGGCUCUGGACACUUACUGACACAUUAUUGGUGUCGGCAUCUAACUCUCUGCUUAUCUAUUGCUAAAUUACCGACAUCAAGUUCAUUUAUGUCCAGCAUUUCAGGAGUGCAUAUUGGAGACUCUUAACACUAAUUUUGUGUACUCUGUACAUACUUUAUUUCUCUUUCUUUUUCCUUUAUUAUGUGUAUGGGGGGAGAUUGAUAAGACCAGGCAUUUUAUUAAGGGGUGCCCUCGAAGGCACAAGACUCAGGAAUCUUUAUUCUAUAUGCCUUCCUCUGUCACUGUCUGUAUAUUUUCUACUACCUAGGCAACCUGUUCAAAACUGUUUGUAAACCCUCUCUUUAUACUUUGACCUAUUAUUUAGAUGCAGCUAGCAUUUAGGCAACUUGUGUGAUUUUUAACCAGUUAACUGCUGCCUGUCAGCAGUCCUUCACAGGUGAGCUACUACUUUGUGCUCCACUGUGGUCAAGCAUAAGUUAACAUCAUUCAGUGCAGACAGCUGUUGUUACACUAGAAUAUACUGCUAGGUAUCUUGCAGGAAAAAACGGAGCCAGGUCAGCAACCCCUUAUUUUACACUUUACUGCCUGACAGCAAGCUUUAAUUUAUUAUCAAAAUGCUGCUAUGAUCUAGGCAGCUUUUGUGAUAUUUAACUGGCUAAUCGCCAUGUCAGAAAUCUGUCUUAGCUGAACUAUUGACAGCACUGGUUUAGCAGUUGUCUUAUCUCCCCCCUCCCCCCCCCUUUUUGCUACAGCUAUUAGUGAUAUAUAAUAUAGUAUCACUUCUAUUACUUGGGAAUACACUGAUGUUAUAUUGUAGCUAAACAGUAUUGCUUCAGCAUUAGUGUUAUUAUGUAUACACUUUUACAGCUUAUAUAAGUAGUCACAGAGUUUUACUCGCUGUAUAGUCUCCAUUUACUCCUGCUGUUCAUAUUAUUUUUCUAUUUUAUUUUUCUUUUUUAUAUUCUUAUUUUAGAUUUAUUUAUUAAAAGUUACUUUUUAAUCUACAAUUUUCUCAGUAAAUCAUACACAGGUAGAAUGGCAUUUGUUUCUUUUUUUGUUUAUUCCCUAUGAUAUUCACCAUUUAGGGGUUAUCCCCCUUUUUUGUGCCCUCUACCUUGUGAUAUCUAAAUUUUGGCCCUAGGUUAAUUCUUUUUGUUUUCCUCGUAUAAUAACUAGUGUAAAAUUGAAAACUAUUCUAAUACAGCCAAGGUACACUAAAUACAGGGGGAUAACCCCUAGUAGAAAUGAAAUAAUGAACAAAAGAAUAGUGUACCUAUAGAUUAGGAGAAAAUAGCAUGUGCCUAAACUUCUAAAUAGAAAAUUGAAGAUAUAAGGCACACGAAAAAGAUCACAAGUUCCACAAAAACAAAAAAGAUUUUAUUAGAUAUCUAUAAUAUCAAAGGGAAAAAUAGUACUAAUGGAUACAACAAGAAUGCUAUAAAGCUAAAAACAAAAAAAGAGAUACAAACUAAUUAUAUAGAAUCAGUUCUGAUGUCUUGAGUAAUAUACGCACAAUCAGCCACAGCACACGUCUGUGCUAUUUGGGAAAAAUAUAUGGGUGCAAUGGUAGAUUAGCAGAGGAAUGAUAGAAUAUGAUAUAUACUAGGACAUAAUAGAGCCUACAUAGCCUAUCAGUAAUCUUAAUGAUUAAAGUAAAGGAAGUGGUGAUAGGGUUGCCACCUGGCUGGUAUUUUAUGGUAUUUGAGGCUGCCUGGCCAGUGCCAGUAUUGCAGUAAAACCGGCAAUACAAAUGCCGGCAUAUUUCUAUGUAUAAACAGAGAAUACUCUGCAAUACCUACGCCGACCAGUAGGGGUCACUGUGUGUGGAGAGAGGCAGGGAUAGGAAGUUACAGCAUAUCCCUGCCUUUCUCUACUCACGAUCCGCGGGGGAGCAGCUACACAGCACAGAGAGUCCAGACAGCCACUUCCAGCCUACAGCUCAGGGAAGUAAGGGAUAGGGCAAAGGCUGUAGGGAGACAUGGGGACACUGGGAGACCCUAGGGGACACUGGGUGACCUGGGAACACUGAGACACUGAGAGACCUGGGGACACUGGAAGAUCAGGGAACACUGAAACACUAGGGGACGCUGUGAGACACUAGGCACUUGGGGACACUGGGAGACAUGAGAACACUGAGACACUGUGUCCCUAGCGUCUGUGUCCCCAUGUCUCCCAAUGUCCCCUAUCUCUCAGUGUCCCUAGUGUUUCAGUGUCCGCAUGUCUCCCAGUGUCCGCAUGUCUCAGUAUCUCCCAGUGUCCCCUAGUGUCCCAAUGUCUCACAGUGUUCCCAUGUCUCUUAAGUGUCCCCUAGUGUCCAAGUGACACUGGGCAACAUGGGGACACGAGGGGACACUGGGAGACAUGGGGCACUGAGACACAUGGGGCGGGGCACUGAUACAUUGGGACACUGUGAGAUAGAAAACACUGAGACAUGGGGACAUGAGGGGACACAUGGGGCACUGAAACACUGUGAUGCAUAGGGGACACAGACACUAGGGGAUACUGGGAGACAUGAGAACACUGGGAGACUAGGGGACACUAAGACACUGGGAGACAGGGAGACACUGGUAAUAAUCCAUAUUUUAUUCAGCAGAAAAAAUGUGAGUAGGUUUUGGUGAUUUUACAGAAUUUUCUCUUAGGUCACUCCUUGUGAUUUACACACAUACACAGUGGUGUGUCCUGGUUUUGUGCCUCCCUAGGCAGGAGAAAACUUAGGCGCCCCUGCCACCCCGCCCUUCCCCCUCCCCAUUCAAAAAACACACAAUCACACAUUCACUGACAGAUACACAUACACACUUACUAACAGACACACACACUAACAGACACACACACACUUACAGACAAACACACACACACUAACAGACACACACUCACACUAACAGACACACACUCACUCACUGACACACACACACUAACAGACACACACUAACAGACAAACACACUAACACAGACACACACUAACAGACAAACACACACACUAACAGACAUACACACACUAACAAACACUCACUAACAGACACACACAGACACACACACUAACAGACACACACACUCACUCACAUUAACACACUCACUUUUUUUAUUUUUAUUUAACCCCUCCAGCCUCCUUACCUUUGGGAAUGCUGGGGGGCAGGGUUCUCCCUCUCCCUGGGGUCUAGUGGGGCUGCUGGGUGGUUGGUUGGGCAGCGCUGGCGAGGGAGCACUUUCCCCUGAUCUGCCUGCUCAGCUCCCUCCUGCACCCCAGAGUGAUGCUGGGAGCCGGAAUAUGACGCUAAUACGUCCCUGCACAUACGUAAUUAAUUAUGCAAAUUAGUAAGGCCGGUAUUUUUUUCCAAGAAAGGUGGCAACCCUAACUAUCCUUCACAUACUCUUGCUUAAGUAUGAAAACUUUAGAGGGAUGUAUGGGAACAAAACGUGUGUGGACUGGCUGACAAUGAAGUUAGUUAAGGUAAAGCUGACUUUGUGCACAAUGCAAAUGAUCUAGUUGCUUCAGUCUCUCUAACAUUGUGACAUGUUCCUUUUCUUCUACACGCACUACAUACAGCUUUUCUCUGUCCCAGACUGUAUACCAGGAGCUUCUGCCUGCUAGUAAGGAGGUUAGGAGAGGAAUGGACCACCGAGUGCUAGGGAACAGCCCUUAGAAAGCGUGGAGCGAACUCAUCGUUAGACGCAUUUAUGCCAAGCUCAGGGUGCUGUCUGCAUAUUUUACCCUUAGUUGGCCAGCCUGCAUGAUUGGCAGGCAGCCUGACAUGCAUUCAUGCCAGGCUGGCCUUCCAAUUCUUUAGGCAGACACGCCCCCUUUUUAAGGCAUGUUCGCCUCUUUCGGCAGUUCUUAUUACAUGAUUUGCAUCAGUGGCCCACCCUUUUUCCCCGUCCUGCUUCACCGGACACUGCUGUUAGGGGUUUGGAUUUACUUGAAAGAUGAAAGCAUAAAUUAGAGAUAGAUUAGCAUAGAGUAUGUGUUUUCUCAUAGCUGCACCUUGUGAGUUCACCCUAUGAGUUUCCCUUCAGCACUACUUCCGCCAGAUACAUGACAAUUGGUAGGUAUGACUGUUUUAGUGUUUUUGGUCGAUAAGAUUCUGUAAUUAGGCCCAUCAUAAUUGUCAGCAACAGGCCCACUGGGCUCUUAAUCUGGCCCUGACAGUACCCCAAUAGUUUUUCCUCUUUCCACCAUUGCUAAGGAAUAAAUCUUCCAGGUGUGCCCCCAAUUGCCCCCCUUUUUUUUCUAGAUUAGCUAAUUGCACGUAUGGUAUAUAAUUGUAGGUUCAUUCUAUUAGGGUGUAAUCGAGAUCAGGAAGGAGGUUCAGCGCUUACAGGAAAACAGAGAAUAUGACAACAAGGCAGCACACCCAGAGAAAAGGGGAAUCCCCUCUAAGCCCCUUAGAGUACAAUGGAGAGAAAAGAAGAAAUAAGGGUGCGCCUAAGACAAGUAGAAUAAUAAUAUUAAAAAUAUUGAGAAUUACUAGAGAGUACGAGCAGCGAUACCUAAUAGUCCGAAUAUAAAUAAUCCACAUAUGGAGGUGGUAGUCCUAGUGGUACAUAAAAUGGUAUGUAAAGUCCCAGAUGUAUAUCCGCAACUUCGAAGUGGAUAUGUGGAGAAAACAAAAGACAAGGGAAACUCCAAUGGUAUAGUAUAAACGGUAAAUAAUAUUGUGUAUAUAAUAGUAGAACUACUCACAAUAUUCAGAGCUUAAAUCCAGCUCUGGUAUAAAUGGCACGGAGUGGAAUAAUCCCCACUCAAGGAUAUACGGUGCUCCUCUUUUGUUCUUUAGUAGAGUACUUUGAUGGAGUAGUCCAGCUCGGGAUAAAAGGCUAAAAUAUAUAGUGCUCACUGUAUAGUUGAUAAAAUGUAGAAACAGAAUAAAAUAUACUCACGGUAUAUAGAGCAGACGUACUGCUCGGUGGAUGGCGUAUGGGUGGUAUAAUCCCCACCUUGGGAUUCUUAGUACUCCAAUAUGGACAAAAAGGCAGUAGUAGUCAGGUCUGAAUAAAAUAAAAUCGCGCACGAACUCGGCAGUGGUGAAAUGCCGAGUUCGUGCGCGAUUUUAUUUUAUUCAGAGCUGCCCACCUGCAUACUAGCAAACACAACUCUGAGUGUAACACAAAAAGAUUACACAAAAAAAAAGUAACUGUUAAAUAGUAAACAGGAAUGUUUCUGAGAAUGGCCACUAGAUGUCACUAGAGCCAUUAGUGAGGAUAUGAUUUUAUUCUCACCACAAGCGUUUUGGCACAUAGCAAUGUAUUGAGACAUCAACUUCCAGACCGGCAUUCCAUGCAGAUGAGACACACAAGGUCAAAACUGUACAAUCCAUGGCUGGUUUUUGGUCACUGGACCAUAUGGAUUAUAACCCAUGCUAUGGUUUAAAAAAUAAAUAAAUAAAUAAUAAUAAAAAAGCUGUAUCCAUUGCUAAUGGUACCCACAGAAAUACAGUAUAAAGUCUAAAAUACAAUGCCGCCUGUGCUCAUUUUCAUGUCAGGCUAGGAACUCUGGGAUAUUUAUGCCCAAGGGGCAACUUGAGAUAAUUAGGCGAUGGCCAACAAAUAAAUAAAUAAAUAAAUAAAUAUAUAUAUAUAUAUAUAUACACUGCUCAGAAAAAUAAAGGGAACACUUAAACAACACAAUGUAAGUCCAAGUCAAUCACAGUUCUGUGAAAUCAAACUGUCCACUUAGGAAGCAACACUUAGUGACAAUCAAUUUCACAUGCUGUUGUGCAAAUGGGAUAGACAACAGGUGGAAAUUAUAGGCAAUUAGUAAGACACCCCCAAUAAAGGAGUGGUUCUGCAGGUGGUGACCGCAGACUACUUCUCAGUUCCUAUGCUUCCUGGCUGAUGUUUUGGUCACUUUUGAGUGCUGGCGGUGCUUUCACUAUAGUGGUAGAAUGAGACGGAGUCUACAACCCACACAAGUGGCUCAGGUAGUGCAGCUCAUCCAGGAUGCCACAUCAAUGCGAGCUGUGGCAAGAGGGCAACAACCCAGCAGGAGGACCGUUACCUCCGCCUUUGUGCAAGGAGGAACAGGAGGAGCACUGCCAGAGCCCUGCAAAAUGACCUCCAGCAGGCCACAAAUGUGCAUGUGUCUGCUCAAACAGUCAGAAAGACUCCAUGAGGGUAGUAUGAGGGCCCGACGUCCACAGGUGGGGGUUGUGCUUACAACCCAACACCGUGCAGGAUGUUUGGCAUUUGCCAGAGAACAUCAAGAUUGGCAAAUUCGACACUGGCGUCCUGUGCUCUUCACAGAUGAAAGCAGGUUCACACUGAGCACAUGUGACAGAUGACAGAGUCUGGAGACGCCAUGGAGAAAAUUCUGCUGCCUGCAACAUCCUCCAGCAUGAUCGGUUUGGCAGUGGGUCAGUAAUGGUGUGGGGUGGCAUUUCUUUGUGGGGCUGCACAGCCCUCCAUGUGCUCGCCAGAGGUAGCCUGACUGCCAUUAGGUACCGAGAUGAGAUCUUCAGACCCCUUGUAGACCAUAUGCUGGUACGGUUGGCCCUGAGUACCUCCAUAUGCAAGACAAUGCUAGACCUCAUGUGGCUGGAGUGUGUCAGCAGUUCCUGCAAGACGUAAGCAUUUAUGCUAUGGACUGGCCCGCCCGUUCCCCAGACCUGAAUCCAAUUGAGCACAUCUGGGACAUCAUGUCUCGCUCCAUCCACCAACGUAACGUUGCACCACAGACUGUCCAGGAGUUGGCAGAUGCUUUAGUCCAGGUCUGGGUGGAGAUCCGUCAGGAGACCAUCCACCACCUCAUCAGGAGCAUGCACAGGCGUUGUAGGGAGGUCAUACAGGCACGUGUAGGCCACACACACUACUGAGCCUCAUUUUGACUUGUUUUAAGGACAUUACAUCAAAGUUGGAUCAGCCUGUAGUGUGUUUUUCCACUUUAAUUUAGAGUGUGACUCCAAAUCCAGACCUCCAUGGGUUGAAAAAAUUGAUUUCCAUUUUUUAUUUUUUGUGUGAUUUUAUUGUCAGCACAUUCAACUAUGUAAAGAACAAAGUAUUUCAGAAGAAUAUUUAAUUAAUUCAGAUCUAGGAUGUGUUAUUUUUGUGAUCCCUUUAUUUUUUUGAGCUGUGUGUGUGUGUGUUCAAAGCAUUAUAAUCACAACUCAUUGGCGCUGCUUCUAGUUCUUGGAACCUAUUACUGCUACCCAAGGUUGGCAUAUAAUUCAGAUUGAAAUUUCUACAUUAUGAGAGCCCGGCAGGUAAGAGGCCAGGCUUUUGGUAACAGAGAGAAUUUCAUUCCUUUGGGUGAUUAGUUGUAAAUAUAACCCGGAUUAUACAUUCACGUUGACUACCACUGCAAAUUAAAAUUCAUCCAGUUAGGCAGAGAAAACAACUGAAUUAUUACAUUGUAUACACUAUUGAUUCUAGCUUCCUAAAGACUUGCAAAAAUGUAUUUUGAGACAUUUCAACUGAUCUGUCAGGAAAUGUCAAUGCCAUCAUAUCAUACCGCUCCAGUGUCCCUGUUUAGGAGGGACAGUCCCUAUUUAGGUGGGUCAGUCUCUGUUUAGGUCCUAACCCCUCUAUCCCUAUUUUCUAUGCUAAUGUCCAUAUUUUCCAUGAUUUCCAUAUUGUUGGUGUGUAUCAGUGUAUAACAGAGCUCCACGGCAAAAAUACACCCAGUAAUGUGUCUUUAAACUACAAUAAAUGUGUUUAGAAAGCAGUCUGUGUAAAUAAUAUACAUUGUUCUUCUUCUAAAUUACAUUUUAGCUGCAUAAAUUAUUAUUAGUAAAUCAUCUAAAAUUUCUAAGAACAGCCCCGUCCUUGGCCACAUCUCCACUGACACCCCUAAAAUUCAAGUGUCCUUCUUUGUCCAUUUGAAAUGUUGGGAGGUAUGUAAUAGUCCAUUUAAUAUUUAUUUUUGUAUUUUAGGAGAAAGCUGCAGAGUUAUGUUUCAUCUUAUUGUAUUUGUAACCAGAGGGAACAAGGAAUCUAACAGGAUGAGAAAAUCAAGGAAAAUACUGAGAAUGCGGAACACUUGCUGUCACAAACAUGAGUAGACACAGAGACAUCCAAGAUGUCAGGGUAGUUUGUGCUCUAAUAUCAUAACCAACUUUCUCAGACCUGCGUGACAUAAUUACAUAGUUAAAUAGCUGAAAAGAGACUUGCGUCCAUCAAGUUCAGCCUACCUCACAUUUGAAGUGUGUGACGAACACCUUUUUAUUGUCCAUUAGUUCCUGCAACGACCCAGGCUGAGCACAUUAAAUCUACCUCUUCCUGCUACUGCAAUGAAGGCAAUGACACUUUAUGGCACUUAUUCAAUUUGAGGAACGUCACCUGCGCACUUUAUGAGCUUGUUCUGAUCUGAUACGUCCUGCUAACUACUCUUACUUGAAGAUAUCAGAAGUCUAUAAGUGUGUUUUUUUUUUUUUAAAUAUAGUUUUUAUUUAUUGACUGUAUACUCAUAUAUUGUGGCGAGAAAUUGAGACUCGCAGGUCUCGCAUAUAAUCUAGGUGGUAAGAUACUAACUUUAAAUGCAAGAGGUUUAGACACGCAG